rnacentral:rRNA from 1 species
CCUACGGGGUGCAGCAGUGAGGAAUAUUGGUCAAUGGGCGCUAGCCUGAACCAGCCAAGUAGCGUGAAGGAUGACUGCCCUAUGGGUUGUAAACUUCUUUUAUAUGGGAAUAAAGUGCAGUAUGUAUACUGCUUUGCAUGUACCUUAUGAAUACGGAUCGGCUAACUCCGUGCCAGCAGCCGCGGUAAUACGUAGGAUCCGGGCGUUAUCCGGAUUUAGUGGGUUUAAAGGGUGCGUAGGCGGGUUGUUAAGUCAGUUGUGAAAGUUUGCGGCUCAACCGUAGAAUUGCAGUUGAUACUGGCAGCCGUGAGUACAGUAGAGGUAGGCGGAAUUCGUGGUGUAGCGGUGAAAUGCUUAGAUAUCACGAAGAACGCCGAUUGCGAAGGCAGCCUGCUGGACUGUAACUGACGCUGAGGCACGAAAGUGUGGGUAUCAAACAGGAUUAGAUACCCUUGUAGUC